rnacentral:rRNA from 1 species
GCUCAGGACGAACGCUGGCGGCGUGCCUAAUACAUGCAAGUCGAGCGGGUCUCUUCGGAGGCCAGCGGCGGACGGGUGAGGAACACGUGGGUAAUCUGCCUUUCAGGCCGGAAUAACGCCCGGAAACGGGCGCUAAUGCCGGAUACGCCCGCGAGGAGGCAUCUUCUUGCGGGGGAAGGCCCAAUUGGGCCGCUGAGAGAGGAGCCCGCGGCGCAUUAGCUAGUUGGCGGGGUAACGGCCCACCAAGGCGACGAUGCGUAGCCGACCUGAGAGGGUGACCGGCCACACUGGGACUGAGACACGGCCCAGACUCCUACGGGAGGCAGCAGUAGGGAAUCUUCCGCAAUGGGCGCAAGCCUGACGGAGCAACGCCGCGUGAGCGAAGAAGGCCUUCGGGUUGUAAAGCUCUGUUGCUCGGGGAGAGCGGCAUGGGGGAUGGAAAGCCCCAUGCGAGACGGUACCGAGUGAGGAAGCCCCGGCUAACUACGUGCCAGCAGCCGCGGUAAAACGUAGGGGGCGAGCGUUGUCCGGAAUCACUGGGCGUAAAGGGUGCGUAGGCGGUCGAGCAAGUCUGGAGUGAAAGUCCAUGGCUCAACCAUGGGAUGGCUUUGGAAACUGCUUGACUUGAGUGCUGGAGAGGCAAGGGGAAUUCCACGUGUAGCGGUGAAAUGCGUAGAGAUGUGGAGGAAUACCAGUGGCGAAGGCGCCUUGCUGGACAGUGACUGACGCUGAGGCACGAAAGCGUGGGGAGCAAACAGGAUUAGAUACCCUGGUAGUCCACGCCGUAAACGAUGAGUGCUAGGUGUUGGGGGGACACACCCCAGUGCCGAAGGAAACCCAAUAAGCACUCCGCCUGGGGAGUACGGUCGCAAGACUGAAACUCAAAGGAAUUGACGGGGGCCCGCACAAGCAGUGGAGCAUGUGGUUUAAUUCGAAGCAACGCGAAGAACCUUACCAGGGCUUGACAUCCCUCUGACACCCUCAGAGAUGAGGGGUCCCUUCGGGGCAGAGGAGACAGGUGGUGCAUGGUUGUCGUCAGCUCGUGUCGUGAGAUGUUGGGUUCAGUCCCGCAACGAGCGCAACCCUUGACCUGUGUUACCAGCGCGUUGAGGCGGGGACUCACAGGUGACUGCCGGCGUAAGUC